UCCAGUGCAUUGCUAACGAAGAUGGA
rnacentral:piRNA from 1 species